GUUUAGUCGAGAUGGCAAAAAGCAUGUUGAAAGCGAAAAAGCUCCCAAACAAAUUUUGGGCAGAAGCGGUAUCUACUACAACAUACAUUCUCAAAAGAAGUCCAAUUUUAGUGCUGGAGAAUAUUACACCUUAUGAAGCAUAAACCGGCUGGAAACCGAAGUGUUUGGACAGGUUAAGUUGAUGAUCGAAAAAGUACGAGAAGGGUUCGAGUUGAUACGCUUCGCAACCGAGGAGCAGAUGGUCGAUAUUUUCACAAAGCCGCUACUAUUGGAGAAAUUCAUAUUUUGCCGAGAGAAGAUCGGUGCGAAGAACAUUAGCAUUAUGGGGGAGUGUUAGAGAUAAUGCUAAUGAGAUUAAGAUUAGAUUAUUCGAUCUUAUCCAUUAUUAUAUUCGGUUAUUUAAAUUAUGGUUAAGAUGAAAUCAAAUCAGAGUAGGAUACUAUGUAAUUAGUUAUAAAUAGAUAGGCCGGGAUUAUUUGGUUAGCGAAGCCGGUAUUAAUUAAGUUGAAGCCGAGCCGGGCGCUAAUUAAUUUUUGCAAGUUGUAUGGACGCAUCCUGGUGACUUUUCUUCAAUA